UUGAAUAUUAUAUGUAUUUUGCUGCCAAGU
rnacentral:piRNA from 1 species